AAUAUGCAUUUUAUUUAGUAUAUAAUAUGAUACAAACUAUGAAGAACAUAAAGGCUAUUUGUAACAUAUGGUGCCCAAAUCUAAACUGGGAUGAAGGCACAAGAUGUCCCAGCACUGUCCUCCAGUGGUGUCCUGGCCUAACACCAUCAUCCUAAAUUUCAGUUCUAAUGCCUUAGCAAAUGGCCAGGGUGUCAACAGAAAAGGGAUGGACGGCAGUGACGACAUACUGCAGUCCAAGUGAAAUUUGAGUAGAGAGUUCUAAUGUAAAUGACUAUUUUAAAAGACGUUUGCAGUGGCCAGACAUGGUGGUUCACACCUAUAAUCACAGCAUUUUGGGAGGCCAGGGCAGGAUCAAUUGAGGUCAAGAGGUCGAGACCAGCCUGGCCAACACAGUGAAACCCUCUCCAUCAUAAAAAUAGAAAAAAUUAACUGGGCAUGGUGGUGCACACCCGUAACCCCAGCUACUCGGGAGGCUGAGGCAUGAUUGCUUGAACCUAGAAGGUGGAGGUCGCAGUGAGCCAAGAUUGUGCUCCAGCCUGGCCAAUAGAGCAAGACUCUGUCUCAAAAG
rnacentral:lncRNA from 1 species